rnacentral:rRNA from 1 species
GACGAACGCUGGCGGCGUGCUUAACACAUGCAAGUCGAACGGUGAACGAGGGAGCUUGCUCCCUCCGGAUCAGUGGCGAACGGGUGAGUAACACGUGAGCAAUCUGCCCCGAACUCUGGGAUAAGCGUUGGAAACGACGUCUAAUACCGGAUACGACGCUGGAGGGCAUCCUCUCCGCGUGGAUAGCACUUCGGUUCGGGAUGGGCUCGCGGCCUAUCAGCUUGUUGGUGGGGUAACGGCUCACCAAGGCGACGACGGGUAGCCGGCCUGAGAGGGUGACCGGCCACACUGGGACUGAGACACGGCCCAGACUCCUACGGGAGGCAGCAGUGGGGAAUAUUGCACAAUGGGCGCAAGCCUGAUGCAGCAACGCCGCGUGAGGGACGACGGCCUUCGGGUUGUAAACCGCUUUUAGCAGGGAAGAAGCGAAAGUGACGGUACCUGCAGAAAAAGCACCGGCUAACUACGUG